CUCAGUUAACCUUAAUUACUUCUAUAAAGGCCAGGUCUCCAAAUACAGUCACACGGGGAGCUAGGGCUUCAACCUAUGGCUUUUGGGGGAUACAGUUCAGUCCAUAGCAGUGGGGAAAGGAUGUGACUCAGUCUAGAGAGACUCAAGGAGGGAAUGCUUAGAUAGGAGCAUGGAGGGCGUGCCUGGUGAAGGGAACAGUAUGGCACAGCUUCAGAGGCAAGGGUGAGCCAGCAGCAAGGGGCUGGCUAUGGCCGGUACAAAAAGCAUGUGCUCGUGGGAAAUAGGCACCAAAGAAGGCCCAGAGAGGUUUAACAACUUCCUCAGAAUCACACAGCUUCCAAAUGGUUGGGUUGGGUUUACAUUUAGGCGGUCUUGCUCCAGAGCCAGUGCUCCUAACCUUUGCAAGCCACGAACCUCAAGAAAGUGGAGAAGGAAACGCUGGGAAAUCUGGAAGUCAGACAUGGCAAAGAGCUAAUGCUGGCAGCUGUUGGGAUGUCCUCUUCCAGGAAUGGUGAUGAGUUUCCCUGGAUCCAGCCCUGGCUUGGCUGAGGUUUUUCUCACUGUAAGAAGAGGACAAUAGCCUAUGAUCUACAGUGCCCAUUCCAACUCAGAGAAUCUUUACAUCUGGAGAUCUAUAGCAGGGCUAUCCCUAGUGACAUGCGUGAAGAAGCUUGGAAAUGGUGCUGGGUAGGAGCUGAGUGUGCAGAAUGUGGAAAGGCAUUCUAAACCAAAGGAAGAACACGAGUAAAGAUGAUGAAGCAGGGAUAAGGCUAAAAUGAAAUUUGUGAUCUGAUCCACAUACAAGCACAGUGUAGUACAGCUGGAAUAUAGAGAAGAGCUUGAAGACUUAUGAGCAACUAUCCCGGUACUCUUGGAGGCUCUGCAACCACAGUUUGAGAAACUCCGCGUUCAAAGUUAAAAACUGUCACCUGAAUAGUUAAUAACAUCAAAGAUUGUGAAAGCAAGUAUAAAUAACACAGAGAUUAAAAUAAUGAGGCAGGAUCAGAAACACUGACCUGCUGUGUAAGAAGUCCAACUGCCCUGAGGCCACCAGGCUGGAGAGACCAUGUAUGGAUAGGUUCUCUGAUCAACAGUUUCUAUCAAGCCCAGCCUUCUAGCCAUCAAGCCCAGCCUUCUAGCCAUGUCCACCAAUGUGCCUGACAUGUGAGUGAAGCCAUCACAGACCCUUCAGACCAGCCCACCUGCCAGCUGAAUACUUGGGUUAUGGUGGCCAUCCAGACAUAAAGAAAUUAGAACGUUCAUUCAUCUGCAGAUGCUCACACAUUCCUACAGGAUGACUGAAACCCACAGCAAACAA
rnacentral:lncRNA from 1 species